UACAGAAGGUCUCAAGCGUUGUUCGGAUUCAUUGGGCGUAAAGGGUGCGUAGGUGGCGUCGUAAGUCGGGUGUGAAAUUUCGGAGCUUAACUCCGAAACUGCAUUCGAUACUGCGGUGCUUGAGGACUGGAGAGGAGACUGGAAUUUACGGUGUAGCAGUGAAAUGCGUAGAGAUCGUAAGGAAGACCAGUGGCGAAGGCGGGUCUCUGGAAAGUUCCUGACACUGAGGCACGAAGGCCAAGGGGAGCA
rnacentral:rRNA from 1 species